rnacentral:rRNA from 1 species
GACGAACGCUGGCGGCGUGCUUAACACAUGCAAGUCGAACGCUGAAGCUCAGCUUUUGUUGGGUGGAUGAGUGGCGAACGGGUGAGUAACGCGUGAGUAACCUGCCCCCUUCUUUGGGAUAACGCCCGGAAACGGGUGCUAAUACUGGAUAUUCACUGGUCUUCGCAUGGGGGUUGGUGGAAAGGGUUUUUCUGGUGGGGGAUGGGCUCGCGGCCUAUCAGCUUGUUGGUGGGGUGAUGGCCUACCAAGGCUUUGACGGGUAGCCGGCCUGAGAGGGUGACCGGUCACAUUGGGACUGAGAUACGGCCCAGACUCCUACGGGAGGCAGCAGUGGGGAAUAUUGCACAAUGGGCGCAAGACUGAUGCAGCGACGCCGCGUGAGGGAUGGAGGCCUUCGGGUUGUGAACCUCUUUCGCUAAUGGUCAAGCCGCAACAAUGGUUGUGGUGAGGGUAGUGGGUAAAGAAGCGCCGGCUAACUACGUG